UCCAGCAUUGUUCAUCGAAAUAAAAAGAAAUGCCAAGGGAGUUACGAGAACCUGUUAUUAUUCAAAAAAUCCCUGAAGUUGAUGCAUGUUGUAUAUGUAUACCAUUGAAGAUAGCUGUUCUUAUGAUAUCCGUGUAUACUGCAUGCUUGGGCCUGAUUGCUCAGUUGAAUUACACCGACAUUAAAUACGAAGGGUUGUGCGAAUUCAACCCUCCCUCCGCAUGUGAACUCAUCAAUUUAAUGUACUUCUUAAAGUACUUCAACGCAUUUCAAGGAAAUUUGGUUUUUGGUGCUAGUUUAGCGUGUUUUGUUGGAAUAUAUAUUAAUAACUCGAUCGCAGUGUCGGUUUAUUUGUACGUGAUGGCUGUUCGCACCGUUCUCAUUGUGGUUCAAUGUUUAAUCUUAGUUUUGUUUGGCAAUACAGUCAGCAACUGCAACCUGAGGCUUAACCAAACAGUGCUCUGCAUUUCUUCUACUGUAUUGAGUUGUGUUUGUAACAUAUACAUUUUGAUCAUUGCAAAGAGCUAUCGAUCAAAAAUAUCAUUGAAAAGCGCAGUGGGAGUUGAGACUGAAGGCGAGCUGACGCCCAGCCAGUCGCCGGAGCUUGAGAACGAUCCAUGAAACUUGUUCAACAUUCGUGUUGAUGAAAAAUUGAACUCGAGAAUCAUUUUGUAUAUCGUCUGGCCUCCUGUGGACACACAGAAAUACUAUAUAGUAUCGAACCUAGAUGUGAAGCGGGCAAAAUG